UUUUUCGAGUUAAGCUGCAUUCGAUUUGAGGCCAUGCAGCUGGACCGUGCACCACUUUAACUUAUUUAAAUGUAAGAUGCAAUUUAUUUUAAUUUUAUUUGGAAUCGUCGAAACUGAAAAUGCACCGGAAGUGACGACACAACUUUCACUUUCAUCCGCGCUCACAAAACGUAAGCUCAUGGAAGAGAAUGAACUAUAAAGUAAGUAUAAUGGAAUUGCGCGCGAGUCUCUUUGAAAGACGUCUCGUGUGUUGGCGGUGAACCGUGGCCCGUCGACGUCACCUGAGAGUGUUGAGGGCGGAGGUGCGAGACGUCCUCAGGUCGCAUGGCUUGGCGUUGACGGACGUGAGCAGCGAUCGGGUGCGCGUGAAGGGCUCCCUUUGGAGCCUGAGGGCCGCGAGGGCCCCCUUGGAAGCGCUUUUCAGCAGGCGAGCCAUCUCUCGGGAUCCAGAGGCUUCCUCCGGAGCCAUUUCCAAACGCCCCGCCGCCGAGCGCUCAGCGCCCCGAGACCAGCCUCCGCGUGCUUCGCCGCCCUCUCCGGGCGCCACCUCGUCUUGGGCUUCUCCACCCGUCAAACAUCCAUCCUCUCCAGAUCACGGAGCUUCCGUUUCUCCACCACCGGACCAGCGCGGCUCCUCCGGGCCCAGAAGAGAGUCCGUUGUGGUCGACGUGGACGUUUUCAGGACGUUCCUCUGGAGGACAUGGGUCGGGAAGGUCACGCUCUUUCCACGAGGAUUCGUGGAAAGGGAGACGUUCACCAGUCGGUGGUGGUGUGGCCGCUGAACGACAAGCUUCACCUGAUAGGGCCGUCCGCCGAGAGCCACCAGUUGAAGCAGAGGCUGCUGGGUAGGGCGGACGGAUGCGCGGCGAGGACAGCGGAGACAAACUCCAGGAGUAGAAGCAGCUCUCUGCCGGUCCAACGCAAGGACACAGGGGGGGAUGGCGGCGCCGUGGCGAGGUACCAGGGGGUCUGAAGCGAAAGGAUAUAAGGAAGAAGUGAGGAUCCUUGAGAAAAUGAAAGAUGAUGAGUGAAGUGCUCUUCGUGAAGGCAGAGACAGCACUCAACACGUUCUCUUUGCACUACGUUGACGUUGUUAGCACUAUAUCUUCUUCCUGUUAGGAGUCGAAUGGCGUCGUCUUGUUGUCUAACAGGUGUGAGUACGCGGUGAUUCAUAGUCAGAUUAGGGACGAUAGCAAUUACUGAUUUAUGUCUGAGGAAGUUGCAGUUUAUUGCUUUGUUAGAGUUCAGAAGAAAAAAAAAACGCCACUUAAGCGUCUAUUUACAGAAAAUAUGAAGCUAUGUAUCGUUAGCAACUGGUUAGCUUAGCACACACAGGGGGGAGGUGCAAACUUUGCCCUCCAGAACCAUCUAGAGCUUCAACCGGUGAUGUCCUGGGAACAAAGCCCGCUGUUUCCAGCGGUAGCCUGUUUCUAUUUGUACACAGAUACAGCAAUAUACCGUAUUUGUAAUAAAUCGACAUAGGAAAAGGAUGUUGUUUAGUCUUUUUUAAAGACUCCUUCCUUAUUGAUGAAGUGUAACAUUUGAAUGGUUCUGUCGGAUUAAUGUUGUUGUGUUGUUAUGUAUUCAGACCUCAACCUGAACAGACGGUUACGAAAUCAGCCUGAGAAUAUAUCAAGGAUUAGAGGACUUAUGUCUCAACAAGAUUUGGAAAAACUUGUCCAUGCAUUCCAAUCAAACAAAGAACUUACUUCAAAUCCUGCACUUGGUUCAUAAAGCACUGAAGGGUUUAGGCCCAGUGGUUCUGAUCUGCUGAAUUGUGGUACUUUCAACUACACUGCAAAUUGUACUCUAUUUUAGUUUUUAACAUUGUCAUUUUUAUCUUUUAUGUUUCAAUGAAUGUUCUUAACUGUUUUUAAAUAUCUUUGCUUUUGUGUUUGUUUUGGAUAUUUUAUGUGAAGCACUUUGAAUUGCUUCACAUAAAAUAUUCUGUACAAAUAAAAUUGCCCUGCCUUAGUGCAAUAAACUGAUAUUAUACUGACUGAAAUAUGAUAUGCUUCUGAUAUCGAACGUUCUACUCUAAUCAAGCAAAAAUAACAUUCAUUCAAGUUGUUUUGCUCACGCCAGUUAUUAUCUGAUAUAAAUCUCCUGUGUUUUGUUAUUGCCAGUUGCUCUGACUAUAAACGUCGCUGAUGAACUGAAUGGCUAAGACAAAAUUUAUGUGAAUUGUAAAGACUGAAGAAUAAAUAUAGCGAU
ensembl:lncRNA